rnacentral:rRNA from 1 species
AAUAGAUACCCGGGUAGUCCACGCCGUAAACGAUGUCGACUUGGAGGUUGUUCCCUUGAGGAGUGGCUUCCGGAGCUAACGCGUUAAGUCGACCGCCUGGGGAGUACGGCCGCAAGGUUAAAACUCAAAUGAAUUGACGGGGGGCCCGCACAAGCGGUGGAGCAUGUGGUUUAAUUCGAUGCAACGCGAAGAACCUUACCUACUCUUGACAUCCAGAGAACUUAGCAGAGAUGCUUUGGUGCCUUCGGGAACUCUGAGACAGGUGCUGCAUGGCUGUCGUCAGCUCGUGUUGUGAAAUGUUGGGUUAAGUCCCGCAACGAGCGCAACCCUUAUCCUUUGUUGCCAGCGGUUCGGCCGGGAACUCAAAGGAGACUGCCAGUGAUAAACUGGAGGAAGGUGGGGAUGACGUCAAGUCAGUCAUGGCCCUUACGAGUAGGGCUACGACACGUGCUACAAUGGCGUAUACAAAGAGAAGCGACCUCGCGAGAGCAAGCGGACCUCAUAAAGUACGUCGUAGUCCGGAUUGGAGUCUGC